rnacentral:rRNA from 1 species
CCUACGGGAGGCAGCAGUGGGGAAUAUUGCACAAUGGGGGAAACACUGAUGCAGCGACGCCGCGUGAGUGAAGAAGUAUUUCGGUAUGUAAAGCUCUAUCAGCAGGGAAGAAGAAAGACGGUACCUGACUAAGAAGCCCCGGCUAACUACGUGCCAGCAGCCGCGGUACUACGUAGGGGGCAAGCGUUAUCCGGAUUUACUGGGUGUAAAGGGAGCGUAGACGGCUGUGCAAGGCUGAAGUGAAAGCCCAGGGCUCAAACCUGGGACUGCUGUGGAAACUGUGGAGCUAGAGUGCUGGAGAGGUAAGUGGAAUUCCUGGUGUAGCGGUGAAAUGCGUAGAUAUUAGGAGGAACACCAGUGGCGAAGGCGGCUUACUGGACAGUAACUGACGUUGAGGCUCGAAAGCGUGGGGAGCAAACAGGAUUAGAUACCCUAGUAGUC